rnacentral:lncRNA from 1 species
AUGUGUUCCCUGGCAACACGAACCCGGAGAGAAUUCAUUUUCAGUGGUGGCGGUGACCAGUACAGCUUGACCAUAGCCAUUGCGAGAGUUCAAACCACAGACCAGCUCUCCUACACCUGCAGCUUCUCCUUCAUCCUCAACGGCAGCUACCACAUACUUCAUGGAAAUGGAACAAAGCUCUAUGUACAUGGACCUCUGGAAGUGACCGAGUCCUGUUUCCGCCUCAACAUAAACCUGACCUGUCAAGUUCUCGUCCCUGACACCGACACCAGCGAUAGCGGCGAUGUCACCAUGCUGGGGUGGCGCGGAGCUUUGAGCAAUGAUGAUUUGCCAGCGUACCAGAGCCAGCUCAUGAUGAAGAACAGACGAAUCCUGCUGAGAUCCCAGAUAAGCGUGGCCAUUGCCCACAGCCAAGGCAUCUACACCUGCUCUCUCCAGAGGGGCCCUGACCUCCUGGCACAGAAGAGCAUCCGAGUGGUGACUGAGGCUAACCCAGUGCUGAUCUACGCUGCCAACCUAAUCAUCUCCUUCCUGAUCCUCCUAGUCCUCGUUGUCAUCGUCGUUCUACAGAGGAGAUUCUCCUGCCGGCGCAGGCGUUAGGGGUCCAAGACAGAGGGGACCCUGCUCCUCGAAGGCUGCGAGGUUCCGCUGCCACUCUCACUGCCUUUGGGAAGGUGAAUCCUGCAAGUAGAUUCCGAAAUGUAGGGAACAGAGACAGUACAAGUCCUAACUACUUAGGAUGGUAUUACCAUGCCUGACUGCAAAUUCUCACAACUCACUUUCGUUUUCAUUGCACAACACUGUACCGUGCUUCCCCAUAAAUUACCUUUGUCUGUGCUGUAAAUGUCAUUAAAAGAGAAGUUAGAUUUAAUCGUUCAGCUCAUGUUUUUCUGCAGACCAACCUGCUACUUUGUAAUGUUACGCCUUGUUUACAAAGCUAUAUGCAAUGAAUUACCUGUUCAUACAGCUGGAUAAUCCUUAAUGGAGCAGUUCUACAGUUCAUAGUCACUUACAGUGGGAGUGGGGAUCUUAACCGAGGUCCUGCUUGCUGCCUUUACAACAAUAUAUGCCACCGAGUCACUGAAAUACAGUACAGUACUUGCAAUUUUUUCAACUUUAUGAUGGUGAGCUGGCGAUAGACAUUCAGUAGAUACCGUACUUCGAAUUUUGAAGUUUGAUUUUUUUCCCUGGUAAGCAAUAUGAGGAACGAUACUCUCUUGCGAUGCUGGGCAGCUACAGCAGCCACAUCUCCCAUUUGGUCACGCAGAGGUGUGUAUUAGGUGUAUCAAAUGCAUUUUCGACUCAC